rnacentral:rRNA from 1 species
CCUACGGGUGGCAGCAGUGGGGAAUAUUGGACAAUGGGGGCAACCCUGAUCCAGCCAUGCCGCGUGUGUGAAGAAGGCCCUCGGGUUGUAAAGCACUUUCAGUGAGGAAGAACGCCUGGUGGUUAAUACCCAUCAGGAAAGACAUCACUCACAGAAGAAGCACCGGCUAACUCCGUGCCAGCAGCCGCGGUAAUACGGAGGGUGCGAGCGUUAAUCGGAAUUACUGGGCGUAAAGCGCGCGUAGGUGGCUUGAUAAGCCGGUUGUGAAAGCCCCGGGCUCAACCUGGGAAUGGCAUCCGGAACUGUCAAGCUAGAGUGCAGGAGAGGAAGGUAGAAUUCCCGGUGUAGCGGUGAAAUGCGUAGAGAUCGGGAGGAAUACCAGUGGCGAAGGCGGCCUUCUGGACUGACACUGACACUGAGGUGCGAAAGCGUGGGUAGCAAACAGGAUUAGAUACCCUUGUAGUC